UACGAAGGGGGCUAGCGUUGCUCGGAAUCACUGGGCGUAAAGGGUGCGUAGGCGGGUCUUUAAGUCAGGGGGGAAAUCCUGGAGCUCAACUCCAGAACUGCCUUCGAUACUGGCGAUCUCGAGUUCGGGAGAGGUGAGUGGAACUGCGAGUGUAGAGGUGAAAUUCGUAGAUAUUCGCAAGAACACCAGUGGCGAAGGCGGCUCACUGGCCCGAUACUGACGCUGAGGCACGAAAGCGUGGGGAGCAAACAGG
rnacentral:rRNA from 1 species